UACGGAGGGGGGCUAGCGUUGUUCGGAAUUACUGGGCGUAAAGCGCGCGUAGGCGGCUUUGUAAGUCAGGGGUGAAAUCUCUCGGCUCAACCGAGAAACUGCCUUUGAGACUGCAGGACUUGAGGGCGUGAGAGGAGACUGGAAUUCCUAGUGUAGCGGUGAAAUGCAUAGAUAUUAGGAGGAACACCAGUGGCGAAGGCGAGUCUCUGGCACGCAUCUGACGCUGAAACACGAAAGCCAGGGGAGCGAACGGG
rnacentral:rRNA from 1 species